rnacentral:rRNA from 1 species
AUUGAACGCUGGCGGCAGGCCUAACACAUGCAAGUCGAACGGUAACAGGAAGAAUCUUGCUUCUUUGCUGACGAGUGGCGGACGGGUGAGUAAUGUCUGGAAACUGCCUGAUGGAGGGGGAUAACUACUGGAAACGGUAGCUAAUACCGCAUAACGUCGCAAGACCAAAGAGGGGGACCUUCGGGCCUCUUGCCAUCGGAUGUGCCCAGAUGGGAUUAGCUAGUAGGUGGGGUAACGGCUCACCUAGGCGACGAUCCCUAGCUGGUCUGAGAGGAUGACCAGCCACACUGGAACUGAGACACGGUCCAGACUCCUACGGGAGGCAGCAGUGGGGAAUAUUGCACAAUGGGCGCAAGCCUGAUGCAGCCAUGCCGCGUGUAUGAAGAAGGCCUUCGGGUUGUAAAGUACUUUCAGCGGGGAGGAAGGGAGUAAAGUUAAUACCUUUGCUCAUUGACGUUACCCGCAGAAGAAGCACCGGCUAACUCCGUG